CUCCCCUACGGGGCGCAGCAGUGAGGAAUAUUGGUCAAUGGGCGGUAGCCUGAACCAGCCAAGUAGCGUGAAGGAUGAAGGUUCUAUGGAUUGUAAACUUCUUUUAUAAAGGAAUAAAGUGAGGCACGUGUGCCUCUUUGUAUGUACUUUAUGAAUAAGGAUCGGCUAACUCCGUGCCAGCAGCCGCGGUAAUACGUAGGAUCCGAGCGUUAUCCGGAUUUAUUGGGUUUAAAGGGAGCGUAGAUGGGUUGUUAAGUCAGUUGUGAAAGUUUGCGGCUCACCCGUAACACUGCAAUUGAUACUGG
rnacentral:rRNA from 1 species